rnacentral:rRNA from 1 species
GAUGAACGCUGGCGGUAUGCUUAACACAUGCAAGUCGAACGGACUCUUCGGAGUUAGUGGCGGACGGGUGAGUAACGCGUGAGAAUCUGGCUUUGGGUUCGGGACAACCACUGGAAACGGUGGCUAAUACCGGAUGUGCCGAGAGGUAAAAGAGAAAUUGCCUGAAGAUGAGCUCGCGUCUGAUUAGCUAGUUGGUGAGGUAAAGACUUACCAAGGCAGCGAUCAGUAGCUGGUCUGAGAGGAUGACCAGCCACACUGGGACUGAGAAACGGCCCAGACGCCUACGGGAGGCAGCAGUGGAGAAUUUUCCGCAAAGGGCGAAAGAGUGACGAAGCUAUACCGCGUGAGGGAAGAAGGCUCUUGGGUUGUAAACCUCUUUUCUUAGGGAAGAACAAAAUGACGGUACCUAAGGAAUCAGCAUCGGCUAACUCCGUG